rnacentral:rRNA from 1 species
CCUACGGGAGGCAGCAGUGAGGAAUAUUGGUCAAUGGACGCAAGUCUGAACCAGCCAAGUAGCGUGCAGGAUGACGGCCCUCCGGGUUGUAAACUGCUUUUAGUUGGGAAUAAAAGGGGGCUCGUGAGCCCCGUAUCGUAUGUAACAUCAGAAAAAGGACCGGCUAACUCCGCGCCAGACGCCGCGGUAAUACGGAAGGUCCGGGCGUUAUUCGGAUUGAUUGGGUUUAAAGGGAGCGUAGGCCGGCUUUUAAGUAAGCUGUGAAAGUCCGCGGCUCAACCGGGGAAUUGCAGUGGAAGCUGGAGGCCUUGAGUGCACGCAGGGAUGCCGGAAUUCAUGGUGUAGCGGUGAAAUGCUUAGAUAUCAUGAAGAACUCCGAUCGCGAAGGCAAGUGUCCGGGGUGCAACUGACGCUGAGGCUCGAAAGUGCGGGUAUCAAACAGGAUUAGAUACCCCAGUAGUC